GUAAUCAAUAAUUUACUCCAAUAAAAUUGGAAUGAUUCAAAGAUUAGCAUGACCUCUAUACAAGGAUGACAAACACAAAUCGAGAAAUAGUCCAAUUUUUU